rnacentral:rRNA from 1 species
ACUGCGAAUGGCUCAUUAUAUAAGUUAUCGUUUAUUUGAUAGUACCUUACUACUUGGAUAACCGUGGUAAUUCUAGAGCUAAUACAUGCUAAAAAUCCCGACUUCGGAAGGGAUGUAUUUAUUAGAUUAAAAACCAAUGCCCCUCGGGGCUCUCUGGUGAUUCAUAAUAACUUCUCGAAUCGCACGGCCUUGCGCCGGCGAUGGUUCAUUCAAAUUUCUUCCCUAUCAACUUUCGAUGUUUGGGUAGUGGCCAAACAUGGUUGCAACGGGUAACGGAGGGUUAGGGCUCGACCCCGGAGAAGGAGCCUGAGAAACGGCUACUACAUCCAAGGAAGGCAGCAGGCGCGCAAAUUACCCAAUCCCGAUUCGGGGAGGUAGUGACAAUAAAUACUGAUACAGGGCUCUUUCGGGUCUUGUAAUUGGAAUGAGUACAAUUUAAAUCCCUUAACGAGGAACAAUUGGAGGGCAAGUCUGGUGCCAGCAGCCGCGGUAAUUCCAGCUCCAAUAGCGUAUAUUAAAGUUGUUGUGGUUAAAAAGCUCGUAGUUGAACCUUGGGCCUGGCUGGCCGGUCCGCCUCACCGCGUGUCACUGGUCCGGCCGGGUCUUUCCCUCUGUGGAACCACAUGCCCUUCACUGGGCGUGGCGGGGAAACAGGACUUUUACUUUGAAAAAAUUAGAGUGCUCCAGGCAGGCCUAUGCUCGAAUACAUUAGCAUGGAAUAAUGAAAUAGGACGUGCGGUUCUAUUUUGUUGGUUUCUAGGACCGCCGUAAUGAUUAAUAGGGACAGUCGGGGGCAUCAGUAUUCAAUUGUCAGAGGUGAAAUUCUUGGAUUUAUUGAAGACUAACUACUGCGAAAGCAUUUGCCAAGGAUGUUUUCAUUAAUCAGAACGAAAGUUAGGGGAUCGAAGACGAUCAGAUACCGUCGUAGUCUUAACCAUAAACUAUGCCGACUAGGGAUCGGACGAUGUUAUUUAGUUGACUCGUUCGGCACCUU